rnacentral:rRNA from 1 species
CCCUACGGGGGGCAGCAGUGGGGAAUAUUGCACAAUGGGGGAAACCCUGAUGCAGCGACGCCGCGUGAGUGAAGGAGUAUUUCGGUAUGUAAAGCUCUAUCAGCAGGGAAGAAAAAAGACGGUACCUGACUAAGAAGCCCCGGCUAACUACGUGCCAGCAGACGCGGUAAUACGUAGGGGGCAAGCGUUAUCCGGAUUUACUGGGUGUAAAGGGAGCGUAGACGGCGCGGUAAGUCUGAAGUGA